rnacentral:tRNA from 1 species
GCGGGCGUCGUAACCUGUUGAUAUUGCUAGUCUUUAACUAAAGGCGCAUGAUUUAGGUUCCAGCGCCGCAAGGUGUAAGAGUUCGAGUCUCUUCGUCCGCACCA